UUGACGGCCACACACACUCAUACGCACACAGAGGGAGAGAGAGGAGUAGAUAGUAUAGUUCUCACUCGGAGUUGUAUCCAGACCAGACCACUGCUUCUCUUAUACCUGGACCAUCCUGUAUCACUCACCUGCCAUAGUUGUGCAGAAUGACUGAAGAAACUCCGGAAGCCUUUCAGCAUGUCAGCAGGAAGUCUGGCCUACAGAUCUGGACCAUCAAUAACAUGAAGAUGGUUCUGUACCGGACCAAGCUUUCGGGACUUCUUUGAGGGAUUGCU